AUCGACAAUCACAACAACAACACGUGCAGAUCCUGCUGAUUAUUUUGGUUUUAAAAAUGUCACUUUAACAGCGCAUAUUUCAGCUCAAUUGCAAACAAAACCGACACACAGUCCGAUAAAAUGCUGGAAACAAGUGUCACGCGACUCACCUAAGAAGUGCUGUGCUGUGGAUUGUAAAGCAGAGCUCUGGGACGUGUGGACAGACAGAGACUGUAAUGAUGGACAUCUGCUCGUGGACAGUCUGUCCAAAAGCAUAACCACUGCUGGUCACAGUGCGGGAAGCUCCGGGGGGAGACUGUACUGGUAUCCCCCUUCUUUGGGCGCGCCUUCACACACACUCCAGCAUUCACUCAUAUCACAGAGACCUGGCUGGGAUCAAACCAGCAACCUCUGAACCCGUGAGGCAGCGCUCUUACCUGUGAGCCACAGGUCUCUUGUGAGAGCACGUGAAGGAACUUAUUUUUGACUGUUGACUUGUGAGUUCCCAAUAAAGAAGUUAAAGUAAGCUGUGUACGUGAUAUAAUGAGGUGAGAUUUGAACCCAUGUUUCCAUCUCAGGUUUGUUCUCAGAGAUUCCCAUCGUGGAUUUCACUUCGUGUUUUAGUGACUUUGUUGGAUGAGAUUGAUUUACAGUAAGAAACAGUGGGAUUUGAACUCAGAUCUCCCAGAUUCAAACACAAAGUUUUAUCUCUUGAGCCACUGAGUCUGUGGAGCUGUUGAGUGUUUUGAACUU